AUUGAACGCUGGCGGCAUGCUUUACACAUGCAAGUCGAACGGCAGCGGGGAGGAGCUUGCUUCUCUGCCGGCGAGUGGCGAACGGGUGAGUAAUACAUCGGAACGUGUCGAGAAGAGGGGGAUAACCACCCGAAAGGGUGGCUAAUACCGCAUAAAUUCUGAGGAAGAAAGCUGGGGACCUAGGAAUAGGCCUAGCGCUUUUUGAGCGGCCGAUGUCGGAUUAGCUAGUUGGUGAGGUAAAGGCUCACCAAGGCGAAGAUCUGUAGCGGGUCUGAGAGGAUGAUCCGCCACACUGGGACUGAGACACGGCCCAGACUCCUACGGGAGGCAGCAGUGGGGAAUUUUGGACAAUGGGGGCAUCCCUGAUCCAGCCAUGCCGCGUGUAUGAAGAAGGCCUUAGGGUUGUAAAGUACUUUUGUUAGGGAAGAAAAGUCAGCUGUGAAUAAUGGCUGAUACUGACGGUACCUAAAGAAUAAGCACCGGCUAACUACGUG
rnacentral:rRNA from 1 species